AGCGCAGCAGGCGAGAAAACUUUGCAAUGUGCGAAAGCACGACAAGGUUAAUCCGAGUGAUUUCUGCUAAAGGAAUCUUUUGUUAGUCGUAGAACCACUAGUGAAUAAGGGGUGGGCAAGUUCUGGUGUCAGCCGCCGCGGUAAAACCAGCACCUCAAGUGGUCAGGAGGAUUAUUGGGCCUAAAGCAUCCGUAGCCGGCUAGGUAAGUUUUCUGUUAAAUCCAUGCGCUUAACGUAUGGGCUGCAGGGAAUACUGCCUAGCUAGGGAGUGGGAGAGGUAGACGGUACUCCGUAGGAAGGGGUAAAAUCCUUUGAUCUAUGGAUGACCACCUGUGGCGAAGGCGGUCUACUAGAACACGUCCGACGGUGAGGGAUGAAAGCUGGGGGAGCAAACCGGAUUAGAUACCCCGGU
rnacentral:rRNA from 1 species